CAGGGGACAAAAUGUCACGCCAGACCAAGUCAGUGCACUGUCACUGGUGUCAGGGCGCAUACGGUCCAGGCGUAGUGCACUUGGGAGGGCUUAUAAAGGCAGUUUGAGUGCAGGUGUUUGGUCGAGGAGGACAUCCAUUUAAACGUAACUGUUUUGACUUCACCGCGUAGUUAUGGGUUGCGGGCUUUCUACAAUGGCGAGUAUGGCUGACAAGGGUCAUGGCCCAUUUGGGGGUCACGGUCAUGGACACAGUGGCUCAAGGGGAGGUCAAGGUCACGGUCACGGUCAAGGACACAAUAACAGGGGCAGCAAAUAGCAUCUCCACGCCC